rnacentral:lncRNA from 1 species
CUCCAAUGGCUUCCCAUUCUCUCCUCCCCACCCAAGAAGAUUAUAGGAUUAUAAACAUGAGGUCCCCAAAUAGUGGGAACAGCACGAACAUCGGCAUGAAGGCAAGAAAAUAGGAGGCAUGUACUGGGGAGAGCAAAUAGUUCAGUUGGAGAAAGGGCACAUGAGGAGCAGUAGCAGCAAAUAAGAAUGACCAGGAGUUUGGGAUCAGACACGUGGGACCAUGAGUACCAGGUCAAAAGUUCAAACUUUAUUUGAUGAUGAAGCAACAUUAAACACUAAAGGUCAAGUUUCAGGAAUGUAACUAAUUCAGAAGAAACACAAUGACACAUAAAAAAAGAAAUAGAGCCAAACACAAAAAUUAGCAAAAUAUGAAUGCUUCACCUCAGCGAUGGAUUCUUAUGACUGAACACUGGGAGCCAGACAUUAAAGGACAAACGGGAAGCCUAUCUAAAUCACUAUCUGACAGAAAGAAGCUCAUUUAUUCUUGAAAAGAGAACAAACAUCCUAGGAGAAAUCAUGUGGACUCUUUUAAGUGCCAUUAAAUGACACAAUGGGAAAAAUCUUCAACAAUAUUUUUAUCACAAACAGAGAGGCAAAGUCACAUGGUUGCACAGCUCUCUCUCAUACUGACAUUUAAUACAGGCUCCAAGCAGGAAAGUAUCAUCUAAGAAGACAGCUAAUGUGAUUCAUUGAUGUGGAUUUCUGAUCUUUCCUGAUCAUCAGGAAAUGAUGAACUUGAGACACCUGGAAGAAUGAAUAUCAUACUUCUAUUAAAUGUCACUUCUGUUGGCCAGUCACUAAGGAAAGCAGAUAAAUUGCUGUUUCUCCACCUGUUGAAAGUUUCAAAUUGAGUAGUGUACAUUAUUAAACAAACAUCUCUGGUUUUAGAUAGGGUGACCAUAUAUAGGUUGGUACUUCCCUGGUUUAUGCCUCCUGCCCCAGAAUAAUUAGGAGCAGCCCCUCCUUUCUAUCCAAAACUACCCCAGUUUCGGUGAUAACUUAUAUGAUCACCCUAGUUCUAAAUAUCUGCCCAAGUAGAAGUUGCCACACUAUUAUGCAAGUUUAGGAGCUCAAUUAUCUUUUAACUUAGAAUACAACCCACCUUCACAAGCAAUAUCUAACUUGAUGACUACUGAAAGAUUUGCUGAGGCUAAACUCACUGGUGUAUCAUCUCUUGGAGCACUACCCUUUGUCUUACUGGACACUGUGUUCUCAUCCCUAGCACAGGCCCAUCGUAUCACAAGCAUUUGACUGAAUUAUUUGGUUAUUGAUGGGCAUAACCUGUGACAUAGCUGUCUCUUCUUGGACAACUACUGAUACCACCAUCAUGUAAGAUAAAUUGUUACAUAAAUUAACAGCUUAGAUGCUUUUUCCUCAUUUUUUCCUAAAAAGGAUUUUAAAAUGUACAGCCAAUUUGUAACUCUUUUAUAGCACAUCUACAGAUAUCUAACAAAGAUUCUCAUCCUCCAGCUAACCAAAUUUAUAGGUUAAACCUCUAGAAUGUCACAGUGAUCCAGUUCAGGGUGUUAUUUCCCAACAGAGCCAAAGCCAUCUAUUUUUUACUCUGCCAAACCAGCAACAUUUCCAACAUGAAAUAUCCAUAAUGCAGGAAAUUCCAGUUCUAGGACUCAGACAUGAAUGGUCCCUGCAAUUAUUGUUAAAUUGCAUGUGUCAAGAAGUAGUUUUUUCCUGUUGGCGGUAGACAGUACGGCAUGUGCAUUGUGGUUCACAGAGGCAAUAAAAGUGUGUUAUGUUACUAGAUCCUGAAAGUAGGUAGCAAAUACAAACAGUAAAUUUAAAAGGAUUAUUUUUGUUUCUGAUUUUGCAUACAACUUAGAAUUUUAUGAAAAUUUUCUGAGAAUUUAUGAGAACUUUAUGAUUACUGUGCCCAUGCUUUAGGAAUCAUUAAAGAAAGUUUGUGGAUUACUUCUUUUGAACAACUUACUUAAAAAGUAUUCAAGUUCAAUUAAGUUUGAUAUUUGGGAUACCUUUAUGAAUAAUAAAUGAAUCUUUAUCACUCUAUAUUAUCUUGA